rnacentral:rRNA from 1 species
AUUGAACGCUGGCGGCAGGCCUAACACAUGCAAGUCGAACGAGUGGCGAACGGGUGAGUAAUACAUCGGAACGUGCCCAGUCGUGGGGGAUAACUACUCGAAAGAGUAGCUAAUACCGCAUACGAUUGGAGCGGCCGAUGGCAGGUUAGGUAGUUGGUGGGAUAAAAGCUUACCAAGCCGACGAGCUGUAGCUGGUCUGAGAGGACGACCAGCCACACUGGGACUGAGACACGGCCCAGACUCCUACGGGAGGCAGCAGUGGGGAAUUUUGGACAAUGGGCGAAAGCCGGAUCCAGCAAUGCCGCGUGUAUGAAGAAGGCCUUCGGGUUGUAAAGUACUUUCAGCGAGGAGGCGUUACUCGCAGAAGAAGCACCGGCUAACUCCGUGCCAGCAGCCGCGGUAAUAC